rnacentral:rRNA from 1 species
UACGAAGGGGGCUAGCGUUGUUCGGAAUUACUGGGCGUAAAGCGCACGUAGGCGGAUAUUUAAGUCAGGGGUGAAAUCCCGCAGCUCAACUGCGGAACUGCCUUUGAUACUGGGUAUCUUGAGUAUGGAAGAGGUUAGUGGAAUUGCGAGUGUAGAGGUGAAAUUCGUAGAUAUUCGCAAGAACACCAGUGGCGAAGGCGGCUCACUGGCCCGAUACUGACGCUGAGGCACGAAAGCGUGGGGAGCAAACAGG